rnacentral:misc_RNA from 1 species
UCCUCAGGAGGGCGCGCAC